GGGCUCACGGACCCCUCUCAUUGAUGCCAGUCUCAGGUGGCUCUAUCCCUGGAAGAACAUUCAGGUCAUUUUUGCAUCAUUUGAUCCUUGAAACUAUACUAAGAAGGGGUCAGAGUGAUAUCACCGUUUUCUCAAAUGUGAGAAUGAACACUGGCAAGAUAAAGUGACUUAUUCAAACGUACCCAGAGAGCUGAUGAGAAAGUCAAGCCUAGGAAGCAGACACACUAAAUAAUGUCACUGGAGACAAGACGUAGCCCCCUCCUGAGAAUCAAUAAUGAUACAGAAGCAGAGCUGGGGAGUGGAACUGAAAUUUCUCAAUUUGGGACACAAUCUUGCUCUCAGUUAUUGAUACAGAAGUUGACACAUAAA
rnacentral:lncRNA from 10 species